GAUGAACGCUGGCGGCGUGCCUAAUACAUGCAAGUCGAGCGAACAGACGAGAAGGUUACUCCUGGGGCGAUAUCAGUGAACGGGGGAGUAAAACGUGGAGAACCUACCUAUAAGACUGGGAUAAAUUCGGGAAACGGGAGCUAAUACCGGAUAAUAUAUUGCAUCACAUGGUUCAAUAGUGAAAUACGACGGUGCUGUCAUUUAUGGACGUAGACGGGCCGGAGUAUCUUGUUGGUAAGGUAACGGCUUACCAAGGCAACGAUGAGAAGCCGACCUGAGAGCGUGAUUGGCCACACGGGAACUGAGACACGGCCGAGACUCCUAAGGGAGGCAGCAGUAGGGACUCUUACGCAAUGGGGCAAAGCCUGAUGGAGCACCGUCGCGUGAAUCAUGAAGGUCUUCGGAUCGUAAAACUCUGUUAUUAGGGAAGACGAAAUGUGCAAGCAAAUAUGCACGUAUUGACAGUACCUAAUCAGAAAGCCACGGCUAACUACGUG
rnacentral:rRNA from 1 species